rnacentral:rRNA from 1 species
UGGGGAAUCUUGCGCAAUGCGCGAAAGCGUGACGCAGCAACACCGCGUGGGGGAAGACGGCCUUCGGGUUGUAAACCCCUUUCAGGAGGGACGAAGGCCGGCCGGUGAAUAGCCGUGCCGGUUGACGGUACCUCCAGAAGAAGCCCCGGCUAACUACGUGCCAGCAGCCGCGGUAAUACGGAGGGUGCAAGCGUUGUUCGGAUUUAUUGGGCGUAAAGCGAGUGUAGGCGGUUUGGAAAGUCGGGUGUGAAAUCCCAGGGCCCAACCCUGGAACUGCAUCCGAUACUGUCAAGCUAGAGUCCCGGAGAGGGUGGCGGAAUUCCCGGUGUAGGGGUGAAAUCCGUAGAUAUCGGGAGGAACACCAGUGGCGAAGGCGGCCACCUGGACGGUGACUGACGCUGAGACUCGAAAGCGUGGGUAGCAAACAGGAUUAGAUACCCUGGUAGUCCACGCCGUAAACGGUGAGUGCUCGUCGUCGUGGGUAUUGACCCCUGCGGUGACCAAGCUAACGCAUGAAGCACUCCGCCUGGGAAGUACGGUCGCAAGACUA